AUGGCUUCUCUUCGGAGCAGGGUGACAGGUGGUGCAUGGUUGUCGUCAGCUCGUGUCGUGAGAUGUUGGGUUAAGUCCCGCAACGAGCGCAACCCCUACGCUGUGUUGCCAGCGGUUCGGCCGGGCACUCACAGGGGACUGCCGGUGAAAAACCGGAGGAAGGUGGGGACGAGGUCAAAUCAUCACGCCCCUUAUGUCCUGGGCUACACACGUGCUACAAUGGCCGGACCAAAGGGAAGCGAAGCUGCGAAGCUAAGCGGAUCCCAUAAAACCGGUCUCAGUUCGGAUUGCAGGCUGCAACUCGCCUGCAUGAAGUCGGAAUCGCUAGUAAUCGCAGGUCAGCAUACUGCGGUGAAUACGUUCCCGGCCUUGUACACACCGA
rnacentral:rRNA from 1 species